rnacentral:rRNA from 1 species
UACGAAGGGGGCUAGCGUUGCUCGGAAUUACUGGGCGUAAAGCGCACGUAGGCGGCUCUUUAAGUCGGGGGUGAAAUCCUGGAGCUCAACUCCAGAACUGCCUUCGAUACUGAAGAGCUCGAGUCCGGGAGAGGUGAGUGGAACUGCGAGUGUAGAGGUGAAAUUCGUAGAUAUUCGGAAGAACACCAGUGGCGAAGGCGGCUCACUGGCCCGGUACUGACGCUUAAGAGCGAAAGCGUGGGGAGCAAACAGG